AGACAAUGAUGAAAAUAUUGCAGGCCACUGAUGUUACACGAACUGAAGUUGAGAAAGAUGGAGGUUAUACUCAAUGCUCCAGACAUCAUGAUCAGUUCGUUGUUGAAGAAGAUGAGUCUAUACUUCCAAGAUCAAAAGUUAAAAGAUGGCAAAAAUCAAAAGAUAAAUCUAAUAUUGAUUUAGAAGGCUGUAGCCAUUGGGAGUGGAUGUAACUUUUGGCAUUCCCCUGAGCGUCUAUUUCAGAAUUGGUGCUAAGGUUUUGUGUAUACAAGUUGGCGAAAUCUCAUCUUAGAGGCAUUCAAGAAGCAAGAGCUAGAUACAAGGAGCAAUUCUUCAAAAACCAUCUCCUUGCUGAAGGACGGAUGUAAAAUCAAUGAGGCCCAUACAGAUAUAGCAAAUAGGCAUGUGGAAGUCUUGCAUAUUUCUACUUACACUUCAUUAGUUUAGGCUUUUCACUUUUGUUAUGUUCUUUUUAUGCUGUUUUGUUUUCCUCAUGCAUCCA